rnacentral:rRNA from 1 species
GACGAACGCUGGCGGCGUGCUUAACACAUGCAAGUCGAACGAGAAUCUACUGAAAGAGUUUUCGGACAAUGGAAGUAGAGGAAAGUGGCGGACGGGUGAGUAAGGCGUGAGGAACCUGCCUUGAAGAGAGGGACAAACGGUGGAGGUGACUGCUAAGACCGCAUGACGAAUAGCGGUCGCAUGAUCUUUAUGCCAAAGAUUUAUCGCUUCAAGAUGGCCUCGCGUCUGAUUAGCUGGUUGGCGGGUGAACGGCCCACCAGGGCGACGAUCCGUAGCCGGACUGAGAGGUUGACCGGCCACAUUGGGACUGAGAUACGGCCCAGACUCCUACGGGAGGCAGCAGUGAGGAAUAUUGGGCAAUGGGCGCAAGCCUGACCCAGCAACGCCGCUUUAAGGAAGAAGGCUUUCGGGUUGUAAACUUCUUUUAAGAGGGAAGAGCAGAAGACGGUACCUCUAGAAUAAGCCACGGCUAACUACGUGCCAGCCGCCGCCGUAA